CCGACAUAACGGCCAUACCAUUCGCAGAGGACUUUUCCUCGCCUGGAGCUUCCGCCGGCGAAGUGAUUUCACCGGAGGCAGACGGACCCACCGUCGAACCUGACGGAGCACCUCCGGAGGGACCCAUCGCCGAGGCUGAGGGAGCAUCCCCGGAAGGACCCAUCGCCGAGGCUGAGGGAGCAUCUCCGGAAGGACCCAUCGCCGAACCUGACGGGGCAUCUCCCGAGGGACCCAUCUCCGACGGCGAGUAUGCUGACGGAGAAUCUGACGGCGAAUAAGAAACAGAGGAAGGAGAUCCUGCGGGAGACGAAGAUGGGGAUCCGGCGGAAGAAGAUUUUGGUGCCAUUGAUCCUGACGGUGAAUAACCCGGUGCAUACGACGGAGGAGCUGGCGGAGAAGUCACCGGAGAAGUUGCCGGAGAAACAGGGGAAGAUGAUUUAGGUGACAUUGAUCCCGGCGGUGAAGAACCCGGUGCAUACGACGGAGGAGCUGGCGGAGAAGUUGCCGGAGAACCAGCGGAGGAAGAUUUAGGUGGCAUUGAACCCGGCGGAGAAGUCACCGGAGAAGACGACGGAGAACCAGGGGAAGAUGAUUUAGGUGACAUUGAUCCCGGCGGAGAAGAUGACGGAGAACCAGGGAAUGAGGAUUUAGGUGGCAUUGAUCCCGGCGGAGAAGUCAUCGGAGCAGAGGACGGAGAACCAGGGGAAGAGGAUUUAGGUGGCAUAGGUGCGGGUGGAGAAGUCGACGGAGACAUAUGAGAGGAAGAUUUAGGUGCCAUUGAACCUGGUGGAGAAGUUGCCGGAGACUUAGCGGAGGAUGAUUUAGGUGGCAUUGAUCCCGGCGGAGAAGUCACUGGAGAAGAAGACGGAGAAACAGGGGAAGAUGAUUUAGGUGGUGUAUGUGCCGGUGGAGACGUCGCCGGAGAAACAGGGGAUGAAGAUGAUUUAGGUGGCAUUGUUCCCGGUGGAGAAGUCACCGGAGAAACAGGGGAAGUAGAUUUAGGUGGCAUAGGUGCCGGUGGAGAAGUCGCCGGAGAAACAUGGGAAGAAGACUUAGGUGGCAUUGAUCCCGGCGGAGAAGUCACCGGAGCAGAAGACGGAGAAACAGGGGAAGAAGAUUUAGGUGGCGUAGGUGCGGGUGGAGAAGUCGCCGGAGAAACAGGGGAAGAGGAUUUAGGUGGUGUGUGUGCGGGUGGAGAAGUGGCCGGAGAAACAUGGGAAGAAGACUUAGGUGGAAUUGAUCCCGGAGGAGAUUUUCCCGGUGAUGCUGCUUGAGGAGGAGCCGGAGUUCUAACGGACAAGACAACGACAGUAAGCUUUUGUCCCUUCUUACAGUUAUCUUCAUUGCCACUGAUGAAGUAAAAUGGACCAGAGCGUUCAAGCGAGAUCUCAGAAUCUCCGUCGUCAACUUUCUUGAUAGGAUUCUUGGUAUUACAUCCGUCGUAAUCAGCCUUGUUCACCUCUAGCACCGAGUCCAUUCCCUUAGCAUAGCUGAAAUCUGCAAGUACCCAAACUGAGUCUCAGACAAAAACAAAACAAAAAUAGUAAUCAUAUGACUAAUAAGAAAGAUAGGCUAUUUGUACAUACAGAGUGUGUCGUGUACUACGAAACGGCUCUUUCCAGCCCAAGAUCCGUAAUUUUCCGGCGGAUUUGGAACCCACGCGCCGCUCCCUCCGACUUCAAACCUCCUUGCAUCGGUA
rnacentral:lncRNA from 1 species